CCUUAUCAAGAGUGGCGGAGGGGACAGGCCCUGUGAAGCCCGGCAACCUGCCGACCGCGGAUGCGCGGGGCAAGGUGCCAAUUCCUGCGGCCGUUCCGGCCGGCAGAUGAGG
rnacentral:ncRNA from 1 species